AGAGCGAACGCUGGCGGCAGGCCUAACACAUGCAAGUCGAACGGACCCUUCGGGGUUAGUGGCGGACGGGUGAGUAACACGUGGGAACGUGCCUUUUGGUUCGGAAUAGCUCCUGGAAACGGGUGGUAAUGCCGAAUGUGCCCUUCGGGGGAAAGAUUUAUCGCCAUUAGAGCGGCCCGCGUCUGAUUAGCUAGUUGGUGGGGUAAUGGCCCACAAGGCUACGAUCAGUAGCUGGUCUGAGAGGAUGACCAGCCACAUUGGGACUGAGACACGGCCCAAACUCCUACGGGAGGCAGCAGUGGGGAAUCUUGCGCAAUGGGCGAAAGCCUGACGCAGCCAUGCCGCGUGUAUGAUGAAGGUCUUAGGAUUGUAAAAUACUUUCAACCGGUGAAGAUAAUGACUGUAGCCGGAGAAGAAGCCCCGGCUAACUUCGUGCCAGCAGCCGC
rnacentral:rRNA from 1 species